rnacentral:misc_RNA from 1 species
GGUCAUGGAAUGCGCUGGGAUGAAGCGGCGGUAGCUAAAUUCCGAUUAGAUUAACGUGACAUCCACAUGGAAGUCUGGGCGACCAUCGCGAUUCAACUGCUGGACCAAGAAUUUCGAAUUAAAGGGCGCUGUGAUCUCGAACUGCCUCAAACAGAGCAGGCUUCAUAUCCAGAAAUCGUUUGUCGACCGCAGCGGGGUCAUUACGAUUUAUCGCGAUCAACUUACUUCGCGCUUCGCCACCGCGAAUAACAUCAAAAGCGUCUGCUUCUAUACCUGAAACGAUAGCA